CGUUUCACCUAUAAUCUUUAUUAAUCCAAAUCAAAUGAGUUCAAUAAAGUGACCCCGUUUUGCGCAUGCGUGAGACCGUGCAUUUUCACUGCCACCUGCAUUGCGUUUCUCCGUCCACCAUUUUCCACCUGUGGCUGCAGACGAGUUGAUGAGACGCUCCCGAUUACAAGAAGUCAUUUUUUGGCCUCUGGCACUGAUGAUGUGGAGAGGGGCAUCUCAAGCACAGUCAUGGGGAUUUACAUAAUCCGAAGUUAUGUCAACGGGGAGCCACAGGAUGUGGGAAUUGUGAUCGAAGGCAUUAAAGUUCUGACCAACGUUGGCAGUGUCAUCAUGGGUUUUGUUUUGCUGCCCUUGAUCUGAGAUUUCCAGAAAACCUCAAGUACACCUUUGAGUUCAUCAAGAAAAUCAUAAUGACUGGAUGGACACAAGCUCAAUCCAAAGAUACAGCAGCUGAAAAUCAAAUUGUUUUCUUAAAGUGAACACCAGAUGACAAAUAAAUGAAGUUUCUUUACGCUUUUCGUA